rnacentral:rRNA from 1 species
AUUGAACGCUGGCGGCAGGCUUAACACAUGCAAGUCGAGCGGAGAGAGGUAGCUUGCUACUGAUCUUAGCGGCGGACGGGUGAGUAAUGCUUAGGAAUCUGCCUAUUAGUGGGGGACAACAUUUCGAAAGGAGUGCUAAUACCGCAUACGUCCUACGGGAGAAAGCAGGGGAUCUUCGGACCUUGCGCUAAUAGAUGAGCCUAAGUCGGAUUAGCUAGUUGGUGGGGUAAAGGCCUACCAAGGCGACGAUCUGUAGCGGGUCUGGGAGGAUGAUCCGCCAAGCUGGGACUGGGACACGGCCCAGACUCCUACGGGAGGCAGCAGUGGGGAAUAUUGGACAAUGGGCGGAAGCCUGAUCCAGCCAUGCCGCGUGUGUGAAGAAGGCCUUAUGGUUGUAAAGCACUUUAAGCGAGGAGGAGGCUACUUUAGUUAAUACCUAGAGAUAGUGGACGUUACUCGCAGAAUAAGCACCGGCUAACUCUGUGCCAGCCGCCGCCGUAACAC